UACGUAGGGUGCGAGCGUUGUCCGGAAUUAUUGGGCGUAAAGAGCUUGUAGGCGGUCUGUCGCGUCUGCUGAUGAAAAUCCGGGGCUCAACCCCGGACUUGCAGUGGGUACGGGCAGACUAGAGUGUGGUAGGGGAGACUGGAAUUCCUGGUGUAGCGGUGAAAUGCGCAGAUAUCAGGGAGGAACACCGGUGGCGAAGGCGGUUCUCUGG
rnacentral:rRNA from 1 species